UCUUGCGUACAUGAAAUGCUCCCAAGGACGGUUAUGUAAGCAUUGGUGCACCAAGCAUAUAUCCAACACUAGUGAAGGAUUCUGCAAGGAAAAUAUAAUGGAUUCAUCCUCUAGAAGCUCUAAUGACCAGGAAGUUGCUGGUGCUCUUGCUACUCUAGUGUGAUGGAAUCAAUAAACAACUUACUUUAAAAAAUGCCUUGUCUCUUUGAAAUGUUUCAUGUCCAUUGCUUGCUAAUU